UUUGAAACAAGUGCAUCAUGAUUUCCAAGUUCUCCUUAUCGAUUGCUUGUUCCUUUCUUAUGUUCACUCACUGAGUUUUAUGCUCACAUUUUUAAACUUCAUGUUUUCAGAUUUGGAGGCAGUUGGGACCUAGAUUAAGUUUCCACGUAUGCUCGUCUUCUUGGUAGGUACUAGGGCAUCUCAGUAGCGGUGCCUUCACUUAAAGUCACUUCGCUAAUGGUUGAGAGUCUUUUGUCGGUGUACACGUAUAUGUAAUGUAAACUACUAAGAGUCAUGUUAUAAAUGAAGUAUGUAUAUGUUGGAUUGAUGAUGAUGCCCUU
rnacentral:lncRNA from 1 species